rnacentral:rRNA from 1 species
UACCAGCCCUUGACAUUUGGUGUUACACCGGGAGACCGGUGGUUCCCUUCGGGGACGCCAGGACAGGUGCUGCAUGGCUGUCGUCAGCUCGUGUCGUGAGAUGUUGGGUUAAGUCCCGCAACGAGCGCAACCCUCGCCCUUAGUUGCCAUCAUUAAGUUGGGCACUCUAGGGGGACUGCCGGUGAUAAGCCGAGAGGAAGGUGGGGAUGACGUCAAGUCCUCAUGGCCCUUACGGGCUGGGCUACACACGUGCUACAAUGGCGGUGACAGUGGGCAGCGAACCCGCAAGGGGGAGCUAAUCUCCAAAAGCCGUCUCAGUUCGGAUUGUUCUCUGCAACUCGAGAGCAUGAAGUUGGAAUCGCUAGUAAUCGCGUAACAGCAUGACGCGGUGAAUACGUUCCCGGGCCUUGUACACACCGCCCGUCACACCAUGGGAGUUGGGUUUACCCGAGGGCAGUGCGCUAACCGCAAGGGGGCAGCUGACCACGGUAGGCUCAGCGACUGGGGUGAAGUCGUAACAAGGUAGCCGUAA